CCCGUGGAGCUCAACGAGUCGGAGCCUGUGGUGGUCUACGCCAAGGAGUAUCUGGAGCAGGUCUCCGACCUCAUCCUCGCCACGGAUAAAUGCCUCCUCAACAACUACAUGAUCUGGAACCUGGUGCGGAAAACCAGCCCCUUCCUCGACCAGCGCUUCCAGGACGCUGAGGAGAAAUUCAUGGAAGUGAUGUACGGGACGAAGAAGACCUGCCUCCCGCGCUGGAAGUUUUGCAUCAGCGACACGGACAACAACCUGGGCUUCGCCUUGGGGGCCAUGUUCGUCAAGGCCACCUUCGCCGAGGACAGCAAGCAAG